UACGGGGGGGGUAAGCGUUGUUCGGAAUUACUGGGCGUAAAGGGCUCGUAGGCGGCCAACUAAGUCAUACGUGAAAUCCCUCAGCUUAACUGGGGAACUGCGUGUGAUACUGGAUGGCUUGGAUUUGGGAGAGGGAUGCGGAAUUCCAGGUGUAGCGGUGAAAUGCGUAGAUAUCUGGAGGAAUACCGGUGGCGAAGGCGGCAUCCUGGACCGGCAUUGACGCUGAUGAGCGAAAGCCAGGGGAGCAAACGGG
rnacentral:rRNA from 1 species